UGCUCUCCACAGGGAUGGCUCAAACGAUAAGACAUGUUAUUCACGAUAACCCUUUUUUCGAAAUUAUAUUCCUUCUUUUAUACAGCUUAGCAUUGAUGACUCACAGUUGUACAACACUAGGUUCUGCAGUCAUGUAAGUCGGAUCAUAAGAACCUCUGUUCAUUUCAUUAGAAAAACUCAAAGUUUACAAAAAGUGUAUUGCAAGAGACCCAGUAGAACUGCAUUGAAUCUUCGAAACUUGACUGCAGAAUAUAGAGUUUUGCCUUAUAAAGUUCUCAGUCUUGGUACUUACCUUCAGCCAAUGAAGAAACUGAGUUGGAAAGUGAUCUCAACAUAAAUUAAGUGCAAAAACAUCCCGCAGUGGCACAUGAAGGGCGGCGCCGGAUCCGGCGCCGGAUCCACAUCCACAGCCACGGCGCCGGCACCCAUGGAGUGACCGUGUGCUUCUUCUCCAUGGACAUGGAGCUCCCACAACACACCAUGGAAGGCCUGGAGCUCCUUCUCACGGCAGGUGCACCGCGUACAGGAGGGAAGACCAACGCUCCUCCGGGUCUGCUUCUUCCCGGGUCGCCGUUGCUCCACGGAAGGUUAAAUGGUAACCUUACAAAUGAUCCUUCUCUUUGUAUGAUCGAUAUUAGGAGGGCUUUGCAGUUCCGGAUGUGCCGAUGAGGUAGCUUGCAUUGGCUUUGACAUAUGAGACGGCAUUGGCUUACUCUAAAUAUCUUGGGAGACUCUGAACAUCAGGACCAUGUGGACUAAACUUGCAUGUGGGUGCACUAAGGAGAAGGUCCCACUCAUCAAGGGAUAACAACUAAUUGGUCGGACUUUGUGAAGACAGGGGUUGGAUAAUUUGGAGAAUGUCUUUGCGUUCAAGGCUAAAAGGGGCAAAGUGUCGCUCGUUGUCUACCUGUUUUGACAAGGUCACCGCCUGGUGGGUGCUGGCUCGAAGGUGACGAGCUACAAUCCCAGAGAAUCAGGGCUGACCUAAAGCUACCGAUCAGCGUGGAGGAUGCCGGACGGAGUGCUGAGGAGUUUGCAAUAGCUGAAUCAAAGGGAGUGCCACUUGUCCAUGUUGGUCAGGACACACGCUUGGACUAUCGAGUUAUUGAUGUUCGAACACUAGCAAAUCAAGCCAUUUUCCGUAUACAGCAUCAUGUUGAAAACAUUGGUAUUUGUUCUUGCCUUUAGGACUGCUGCUAUCAGUGAUGUGUUGAUGAACUGAGUUUGCAGAACUAAACACGUCAUGUUAUGUAAUUUUUUGUGUCGCUUAGCUAAGAUAUUCUACUUUGACACUGAAUUAAACAUAUCUAAUCUGGUGAACCCUUUGAGUAGUUGAGCCAAAGCAUGCCAUUGGCUGGGCUGCCGAAUUGGGAUUUCAGUGAUCCUUUUGGGUGGUUGUUUAGGUGGAGUGUGCCCGAGCAGCCACCGUAGCGACACUUAGUGGUGGACUGUCGUCGCUUGUUGUAUCGUAAUGACGUGGACGGGCGCUUCUAUAAGCGAAAAAUGUACAUCUGCCCAGUUGUGGUAUCUCAUGGUUGACUUCCCUGAAAUCUGAAAUGUCCGCAACUGCUCAAAUUAAUAGGCCGGCAUCUUAAAUUUUCUUUCUCAGAUAGAUUGCUUCUUUAUUACGACUUAAUUUUGUGGUGUUGACAGAGUUUGCUGAAUAUGUAGAUUCUUAGAUGCAGCUCUUAAAUAUGGAUGAGAUACCGGAAAGGAGACUUGUGGUUCCACUUUCUCUUAUAUCCUUUUUCUCGACCUGAUUUACUUUUCUGAUAAUGCAACAAGCUGGACAAUAAUUAGAGGGCAGCAGAUGAGACUGGGUAUUGUCGUGGGAUGUGUCAGCACAUGCGUGUCUCUCCCAUUAUGACGACAUGGCUGCCUAUCUUCCCAGAAUGCAGGCCUUGAUCAAGAGGAAUGACUCCCCUCAGUUUGUUCAUUGUAGAACCAUCACUGAGCAUGACUUUUGUAAUUGAAAGCUUAGCAUUGAUGACUCACAGUUGUACAACACUAGGUUCUGCAGUCAUGUAAGUCGGAUCAUAAGAACCUCUGUUCAUUUCAUUAGAAAAACUCAAAGUUUACAAAAAGUGUAUUGCAAGAGACCCAGUAGAACUGCAUUGAAUCUUCGAAACUUGACUGCAGAAUAUAGAGUUUUGCCUUAUAAAGUUCUCAGUCUUGGUACUUACCUUCAGCCAAUGAAGAAACUGAGUUGGAAAGUGAUCUCAACAUAAAUUAAGUGCAAAAACAUCCCGCAGUGGCACAUGAAGGGCGGCGCCGGAUCCGGCGCCGGAUCCACAUCCACAGCCACGGCGCCGGCACCCAUGGAGUGACCGUGUGCUUCUUCUCCAUGGACAUGGAGCUCCCACAACACACCAUGGAAGGCCUGGAGCUCCUUCUCACGGCAGGUGCACCGCGUACAGGAGGGAAGACCAACGCUCCUCCGGGUCUGCUUCUUCCCGGGUCGCCGUUGCUCCACGGAAGGUUAAAUGGUAACCUUACAAAUGAUCCUUCUCUUUGUAUGAUCGAUAUUAGGAGGGCUUUGCAGUUCCGGAUGUGCCGAUGAGGUAGCUUGCAUUGGCUUUGACAUAUGAGACGGCAUUGGCUUACUCUAAAUAUCUUGGGAGACUCUGAACAUCAGGACCAUGUGGACUAAACUUGCAUGUGGGUGCACUAAGGAGAAGGUCCCACUCAUCAAGGGAUAACAACUAAUUGGUCGGACUUUGUGAAGACAGGGGUUGGAUAAUUUGGAGAAUGUCUUUGCGUUCAAGGCUAAAAGGGGCAAAGUGUCGCUCGUUGUCUACCUGUUUUGACAAGGUUGGUUACAAGGUUGUCAUCAUACUAUCCAUGCAAAUGUUUCCUGUGAUUUCAUCUGCUAAACAAUGAUGCAUUAGCAGAACUAUAUAGGUUCAUUGUGAGCGUUCGCUUGGACUUAUCUCACACCGUUGAUCUGGCUCGCUUUGGUUAUGUAAUAAGCCAACUAUUGUAUCUACUUAGUGUUGAUCCAUCAGCUUGGCUUACUUUUGGAACAUACUACGUAUUCCCCCAUUUGUCAUGAACUUUUAGAUCUAAUGUUUCAUGCUUCUGGUAUA